GGUUAAGCGACUAAGCGUACACGGUGGAUGCCUAGGCAGUCAGAGGCGAUGAAGGGCGUGCUAAUCUGCGAUAAGCGUCGGUAAGGUGAUAUGAACCGCAACAACCGACGAUACCCGAAUGGGGAAACCCAGUGCAAUCCGUUGCACUAUCAUGUCAUGAAUACAUAGUGGCAUGAGGCGAACCGGGGGAACUGAAACAUCUAAGUACCCCGAGGAAAAGAAAUCAACCGAGAUUCCCCCAGUAGCGGCGAGCGAACGGGGAACAGCCCAGAACCUGAAUCAGUUUGUGCAUUAGUGGAAGCGUCUGGAAAGUCGCGCAGUAAAGGGUGACAGCCCCGUACACAAAAAUGCACUUGCUGUGAGUUCGAUGAGUAGGGCGGGACACGUGACAUCCUGUCUGAAUAUGGGGGGACCAUCCUCCAAGGCUAAAUACUCCUGACUGACCGAUAGUGAACCAGUACCGUGAGGGAAAGGCGAAAAGAACCCCGGCGAGGGGAGUGAAACAGAACCUGAAACCGUGUACGUACAAGCAGUGGGAGCACCUUCGUGGUGUGACUGCGUACCUUUUGUAUAAUGGGUCAGCGACUUAUAUUCUGUAGCAAGGUUAACCGUAUAGGGGAGCCGCAGGGAAACCGAGUCUUAACUGGGCGUUAAGUUGCAGGGUAUAGACCCGAAACCCGGUGAUCUAGCCAUGGGCAGGUUGAAGGUUGGGUAACACUAACUGGAGGACCGAACCGACUAAUGUUGAAAAAUUAGCGGAUGACCUGUGGCUGGGGGUGAAAGGCCAAUCAAACCGGGAGAUAGCUGGUUCUCCCCGAAAGCUAUUUAGGUAGCGCCUCGUGAACUCAUCUCCGGGGGUAGAGCACUGUUUCGGCUAGGGGGCCAUCCCGGCUUACCAACCCGAUGCAAACUGCGAAUACCGGAGAAUGUUAUCACGGGAGACACACGGCGGGUGCUAACGUCCGUCGUGAAGAGGGAAACAACCCAGACCGCCAGCUAAGGUCCCAAAGUCAUGGUUAAGUGGGAAACGAUGUGGGAAGGCACAGACAGCCAGGAUGUUGGCUUAGAAGCAGCCAUCAUUUAAAGAAAGCGUAAUAGCUCACUGGUCGAGUCGGCCUGCGCGGAAGAUGUAACGGGGCUAAACCAUGCACCGAAGCUGCGGCAGCGACGCUUAUGCGUUGUUGGGUAGGGGAGCGUUCUGUAAGCCGUCGAAGGUGUGCUGUGAGGCAUGCUGGAGGUAUCAGAAGUGCGAAUGCUGACAUAAGUAACGAUAAAGCGGGUGAAAAGCCCGCUCGCCGGAAGACCAAGGGUUCCUGUCCAACGUUAAUCGGGGCAGGGUGAGUCGACCCCUAAGGCGAGGCCGAAAGGCGUAGUCGAUGGGAAACGGGUUAAUAUUCCCGUACUGGGCGUUACUGCGAAGGGGGGACGGAGAAGGCUAUGUUAGCCGGGCGACGGUUGUCCCGGUUUAAGCGUGUAGGCUUGAGUUCCAGGCAAAUCCGGAACUCUUUAAGGCUGAGGCGUGAUGACGAGGCACUACGGUGCUGAAGUAACAAAUGCCCUGCUUCCAGGAAAAGCCUCUAAGCAUCAGGUAACGACCAAUCGUACCCCAAACCGACACAGGUGGUCAGGUAGAGAAUACCAAGGCGCUUGAGAGAACUCGGGUGAAGGAACUAGGCAAAAUGGUGCCGUAACUUCGGGAGAAGGCACGCUGGCGCGUAGGUGAAGCGACAAGCUCGUGGAGCCGAAGCCAGUCGAAGAUACCAGCUGGCUGCAACUGUUUAUUAAAAACACAGCACUGUGCAAACACGAAAGUGGACGUAUACGGUGUGACGCCUGCCCGGUGCCGGAAGGUUAAUUGAUGGGGUUAUCCGCAAGGAGAAGCUCUUGAUCGAAGCCCCGGUAAACGGCGGCCGUAACUAUAACGGUCCUAAGGUAGCGAAAUUCCUUGUCGGGUAAGUUCCGACCUGCACGAAUGGCGUAAUGAUGGCCAGGCUGUCUCCACCCGAGACUCAGUGAAAUUGAACUCGCUGUGAAGAUGCAGUGUACCCGCGGCAAGACGGAAAGACCCCGUGAACCUUUACUACAGCUUGACACUGAACAUUGAGCCUUGAUGUGUAGGAUAGGUGGGAGGCUUCGAAGCGUGGACGCCAGUCUGCGUGGAGCCAACCUUGAAAUACCACCCUUUAACGUUUGAUGUUCUAACCUGGCGCCGUGAUCCGGCGUGGGGACAGUGUCUGGUGGGUAGUUUGACUGGGGCGGUCUCCUCCUAAAGAGUAACGGAGGAGCACGAAGGUCAGCUAAUCACGGUCGGACAUCGUGAGGUUAGUGCAAUGGCAUAAGCUGGCUUGACUGCGAGAGUGACGGCUCGAGCAGGUGCGAAAGCAGGUCAUAGUGAUCCGGUGGUUCUGAAUGGAAGGGCCAUCGCUCAACGGAUAAAAGGUACUCCGGGGAUAACAGGCUGAUACCGCCCAAGAGUUCAUAUCGACGGCGGUGUUUGGCACCUCGAUGUCGGCUCAUCACAUCCUGGGGCUGAAGUAGGUCCCAAGGGUACGGCUGUUCGCCGUUUAAAGUGGUACGCGAGCUGGGUUUAGAACGUCGUGAGACAGUUCGGUCCCUAUCUGCCGUGGGCGCUGGAAGAUUGAGAGGGGUUGCUCCUAGUACGAGAGGACCGGAGUGAACGCACCGCUGGUGUUCGGGUUGUCAUGCCAAUGGCAUUGCCCGGUAGCUAAGUGCGGAAAAGAUAAGCGCUGAAAGCAUCUAAGCGCGAAACUUGCCUCGAGAUGAAUCUUCCCUGACUCCUUGAGAGUCCUGAAGGGACGUUGAAGACUACGACGUUGAUAGGCCGGGUGUGUAAGCGCAGCGAUGCGUUGAGCUAACCGGUACUAAUGACCCGUGAGGCUUAACCUU
rfam:Erwinia tasmaniensis strain ET1/99 complete chromosome.